AACGAACGCUGGCGGCAUGCCUAACACAUGCAAGUCGAACGAACCCUUCGGGGUUAGUGGCGCACGGGUGCGUAACGCGUGGGAAUCUGCCCUAGGCUUCGGAAUAACAGUUAGAAAUGACUGCUAAUACCGGCUGAUGUCUUCGGACCAAAGAUUUAUCGGUCAGGGAUGAGCCCGCGUAGGAUUAGGUAGUUGGUGGGGUAAAGGCCUACCAAGCCGACGAUCCUUAGCUGGUCUGAGAGGAUGAUCAGCCACACUGGGACUGAGACACGGCCCAGACUCCUACGGGAGGCAGCAGUGGGGAAUAUUGGACAAUGGGCGCAAGCCUGAUCCAGCAAUGCCGCGUGAGUGAUGAAGGCCUUAGGGUCGUAAAGCUCUUUUACCCGGGAUGAUAAUGACAGUACCGGGAGAAUAAGCUCCGGCUAACUCCGUGCCAGCAGCCGCAGUAA
rnacentral:rRNA from 1 species